CCCAGGGCCAGGAAGGAGGCUGU
rnacentral:piRNA from 1 species